UGUAAUUUAGUUUACGAUGAACAUUAAUUUUUGAAAUUAAUAGAAAUAGUUUAAUUCUUUUAAUUACAG
rnacentral:tRNA from 1 species